AUUGAACGCUGGCGGCAGGCCUAACACAUGCAAGUCGAACGAGUGGCGGACGGGUGAGUAAUGUCUGGGAAACUGCCCGAUGGAGGGGGAUAACUACUGGAAACAGUAGCUAAUACCGCAUACCAUCGGAUGUGCCCAGAUGGGAUUAGCUAGUAGGUGGGGUAACGGCUCACCUAGGCGACGAUCCCUAGCUGGUCUGAGAGGAUGACCGCCAACACGGGAACGGAAACACGUGCCAGACUCCUACGGGAGGCAGGAGUGGGGAAUAUUGCAAAAUGGGCGCAAGCCUGAUGCAGCCAUGCGGCGUGUAUGAAGAAGGCCUUCGGGUUGUAAAGUACUUUCAGCGAGGAGGCGUUACUCACAGAAGAAGCACCGCCUAACUCCGUGCCAGCGGCGGCGGUAAUA
rnacentral:rRNA from 1 species